UGGGGAAUAUUGGACAAUGGGCGCAAGCCUGCUCCAGCCAUGCCGCGUGAGUGAUGAAGGCCCUAGGGUUGUAAAGCUCUUUCACCGGUGAAGAUAAUGACGGUAACCGGAGAAGAAGCCCCGGCUAACUUCGUGCCAGCAGCCGCGGUAAUACGAAGGGGGCUAGCGUUGUUCGGAUUUACUGGGCGUAAAGCGCACGUAGGCGGAAUAUUAAGUCAGGGGUGAAAUCCCGGGGCUCAACCCCGGAACUGCCUUUGAUACUGGUAGUCUUGAGUUCGAGAGAGGUGAGUGGAAUUCCGAGUGGAGAGGUGAAAUUCGUAGAUAUGCGGAGGAACACCAGUGGCGAAGGCGGCUCACUGGCUCGAUACUGAAGCUGAAGUGCGAAAGCGUGGGGAGCAAACAGG
rnacentral:rRNA from 1 species